rnacentral:rRNA from 1 species
AACGAACGCUGGCGGCAUGCCUAACACAUGCAAGUCGAACGAGACCUUCGGGUCUAGAGGCGCACGGGUGCGUAACGCGUGGGAACCUGCCCUUAGGUUCGGAAUAACUCCCCGAAAGGGGUGCUAAUACCGGAUAAUGUCUUCGGACCAAAGAUUUAUCGCCUUUGGAUGGGCCCGCGUUGGAUUAGCUAGUUGGUAGGGUAAAAGCCUACCAAGGCGACGAUCCAUAGCUGGUCUGAGAGGAUGAUCAGCCACACUGGGACUGAGACACGGCCCAGACUCCUACGGGAAGCAGCAGUGGGGAAUAUUGGACAAUGGGCGAAAGCCUGAUCCAGCAAUGCCGCGUGAGUGAUGAAGGCCUUAGGGUUGUAAAGCUCUUUUACCCGGGAUGAUAAUGACAGUACCGGGAGAAUAAGCUCCGGCUAACUCCGUG